rnacentral:rRNA from 1 species
UACAGAGGGUGCAAACGUUGUUCGGAUUUACUGGGCGUAAAGCGCGUGUAGGCUGCUCCGCAAGUCGGAUGUGAAAGCCCUGGGCUCAACCCAGGAAGUGCAUUCGAAACUGCAGAGCUGGAGUCCUGGAGAGGAAGGCGGAAUUCUCGGUGUAGAGGUGAAAUUCGUAGAUAUCGAGAGGAACACCGGUGGCGAAGGCGGCCUUCUGGACAGUGACUGACGCUGAGACGCGAAAGCGUGGGAGCAAACAGG